rnacentral:rRNA from 1 species
CAGCGACGCCUCGUGAGUGAUGAAGUCUUUCGGGAUGUAAAGCUCUGUCAGCAGGGACGAUAAUGACGGUACCUGCAGAGGAAGCUCCGGCUAACUACGUGCCAGCAGCCGCGGUAAUACGUAGGGAGCAAGCGUUGUCCGGAUUUAUUGGGCGUACAGGGUGCGUAGGCGGUUUUGCAAGUUAGGUGUCAAAUGCAUUGGCUUAACCAAUGUUCGCACUUAAAACUGCAUUACUUGAGGACAGGAGAGGAAAGGGGAACUCACAGUGUAGCGGUGAAAUGCGUAGAUAUUGUGAGGAACACCAGUGGCGAAGGCGCCUUUCUGGACUGUUUCUGACGCUCAGGCACGAAAGCGUGGGGAGCAAACAGGAUUAGAUACCCUGGUAGUCCACGCUGUAAACGAUGAACACUAGGUGUGGGAGGUAUCGACCCCUUCUGUGCCGUAGCUAACGCGUUAAGUGUUCCGCCUGGGAAGUACGGCCGCAAGGCUAAAACUCAAAAGAAUUGACGGGGGCCCGCACAAGCAGUGGAACAUGUGGUUUAAUUCGACGGUACCCGAAGAACCUUACCCAGACUUGACAUCCUCGGAAUCCCUCAGAGAUGAGGGAGUGCCCGCAAGGGAAUCGAGAGACAGGUGCUGCAUGGUUGUCGUCAGCUCGUGUCGUGAGAUGUUGGGUUAAGUCCCGCAACGAGCGCAACCCCUAUCGUGUGUUGCCAGCAUUUCGGAUGGGAACUCACACGAGACUGCGUAUGGAAAGUACGAGGAAGGUGGGGAUGACGUCAAAUCAUCAUGGCCUUUAUGUCUGGGGCUACACACAUGUUACAAUGGCGCGUACAGAGGGUCGCUAAACCGCGAGGUGGUGCCAAUCUCUUAAAGCGCGUCUCAGUUCGGAUUGUAGGCUGCAACUCGCCUGCAUGAAGCCGGAAUUGCUAGUAAACGCAGAUCAGCUAUGCUGCGUUGAAUACGUUCCCGGGCCUUGUACACACCGCCCGUCACACCAUGAAAGCUGGGGGUACCCGAACCUGAUGUGCUAACCGCAAGGAGGCAGUCAGCUAAGGUAAAAUCAGUGAUUGGGGUGAAGUCGUAACAAGGUAGCCGUACCGGAAGGCG